UACGGGGGGGGCAAGCGUUGUUCGGAAUUACUGGGCGUAAAGGGCUCGUAGGCGGCCAACUAAGUCAGACGUGAAAUCCCUCGGCUUAACCGGGGAACUGCGUCUGAUACUGGAUGGCUCGAGUUUGGGAGAGGGAUGCGGAAUUCCAGGUGUAGCGGUGAAAUGCGUAGAUAUCAGGAGGAACACCGGUGGCGAAGGCGGGUCUCUGGGCCAUUACUGACGCUGAGGAGCGAAAGCGUGGGGAGCGAACAGG
rnacentral:rRNA from 1 species